rnacentral:rRNA from 1 species
AGCAGUCGCCCGGUAAUACGAAGGGUGCAAGCGUUACUCGGAAUUACUGGGCGUAAAGCGUGCGUAGGUGGUGGUUUAAGUCCGUUGUGAAAGCCCUGGGCUCAACCUGGGAAUUGCAGUGGAUACUGGGUCACUAGAGUGUGGUAGAGGAUAGUGGAAUUUCCGGUGUAGCAGUGAAAUGCGUAGAGAUCGGAAGGAACAUCUGUGGCGAAGGCGACUAUCUGGGCCAACACUGACACUGAGGCACGAAAGCGUGGGGAGCAAACAGGAUUAGAUACCCCUGUAGUCCCUGUCUCUUAUACA